GCCCCCGUAGCUCAGUGGAUAGAGCUAUGGAUUCCUAAUCCAUGUGCCGCAGGUCCGAUUCCUGCCGGGGGCA
rnacentral:tRNA from 1 species